UGACUGUUAGAUAAGUUUAUUAAGCGUGCGGGCCCGAAACUCAAACUGAAACCGAAUGCGAAUGCGAGUGCCAUAAAGAAACGGCCAUCCCCAUACAGCAGACUAUCCAGAUAAGCGGAAAGCUAGAAAUACGUAACACUGUUAAAGUUCAGGGUUCCCGGCGGGCUAUAGAAGCACUAGAGCUGGUGGCACUUCCAAUCUUUGACUGGCGGCGGCUAUCGUCCAUCGGGCGAUGAGUUAUGCAACUUUAUGACGGUCCUCAAGUGGCCAAAACCCAAACAGAAGAAACUUAAUGCGAAAAAGAACGAAAUCCACUCGAUCAAGCGAUCAAGAUAAUCAUUUGUCGAAAAUGGCACCUAAUAUUUCGAUGACCCCCAUUAGGGUGCUGAUAACGAUUCCAGAACAUUACGUGGAGUUCACUGGAACUCAGACUACAAAUCUGCAAGCAAGAUGUGAAAGCCAGUUAAUAAUUACAAUUAAAAUGGCACGUUUUCUAACUAUAAACAAAGCUGCUUCUGUUAAUUGUCCUAUUGAAUGAAACCAUAAAAACGUAGCAAUAACUAAUUAUACGGUAAGGUACAAAGAUAAAUAAUUGUAAAUAUAAAUACCAGUUAAAUAAAGAUAACGAAACAAUA